GUGGGGACUGUUAGUGUUAGGUCAGAGGUUGGACUCGAUGAUCUUGAGGUCUCUUCCAACCUAGAAAUUCUGUGAUUCUGUGAAAUCAACCUUUAAGGAACUUUCUGCCUAAAACGCUUUCUCUCACUCUCCUUUCUCCCUCAGCCCUGCAGGGCCCGCUCCCCGCCAUGCCCGGCGUGGCGGCAGUGCCGCCCAGCGGUGCGCGCCCGCCGUUCCCCGCUGCCGGCCCCGCGGCUGCGGGCCCUGAGGGCCGAGGGAGGCCCGGGGGGAGCGGAGGGACCCGUCCGGGGCUCGGUGCCGGCUCCCGGGCUCCCUCCGUGCUCGGCAGAGGCCCCUGGCACCGCCUCUCAGUCGUGCAGCCCUGUCCUGGGGCACUGCUGUAAGGCUGGGAGCAGGACGCUGCCUGCCUGCCAGCGCCAGGCUGCUGCUGCUUGGCGGAGCUCGGAGGAGCUGGCGACCUGCCCGGAGCACCAGCAUGCCCCACGGAAGGAGGGCAGAAAAGGUGCUGCCUGCCUACCCUUGCUCCCUGUGGCUGCAUCUUCUGUGCCAGUCCAGUCACUGCCCUUGAAUUGCCCUUUUUGCUUCUGAGAAGACAUCGUUUGGGGCUCAAAGGCAAGUCCCGGACAUUCUGCCCUCAAAUUGCUGAUACACCCUCUCUGGAUCUCGCCAGCCUCCUCGUGAAGGAGCGAGGAUGGAUCGCGGCUGAUGCAGCAAGGAGACUGAAAGCAAAGCUGCACAGUGAGACACCUGAGGUGAAGCCAGAGGGGCAGCAAGGAAGGGCUGCAGCACACAGAUGGAAGAGGCUCUGGCUUGAAUCUCCCACCAAAGGAUACCAGGGACAGUGACCUAGAGAUGGAAACGUGAAGUUGGGAAGUGUCUGAUGGAAGAACCGUGAAUGCUUCUUGGGGAGAUCCAACAAUAGUCAAGCACCAACAGUAUCAGAACAAGCCCCAAAGCACCUGUACAAAGUUAACAUCAUUUCAAACAUAUUUCAGCUAAAAUCCUGAGUUUUUACCAAAGCGUUUUACAGAAUGGGACUGCAGACUUCUGAUCUGAUACUACAAGUCUUAAAGCCAAAUCUCCUGUGUCCCCAGACUGCAGCUACUUAAAAUAUCUUUUUUUUUUUUUUUUUUUUUUUUCUUUGCAUAUUUCUCAACUGAGUGGUGGUGUGGCGCCAUUCAGAUUACACCAUUCAAAAUAGCCAUGGCCUGAGGUGAUCAGAUUUUAGGAAAAGUGUUUAACAUAGGAUCUAUGAGCAGAGCUGGAAUGUGACAAACAGUUUUAUUGAGCUAAUUCAUUGCACCAGUUAGGGUCAUUCACAAACGUAAUUAUGGAAUAAUAUUUAAGCUGGUUUUUUUAGACCCAAAAUUCCGUGAUGAAAAUUUAGAAAUACUUAAAAAGUUAAAAGAAGAAACAAGGAUGAAGACAUUAGUUUUAUUUCCCUUUAGCGGGAGAGAUUUAUCAUCAACAGAUACAAAAUGAACAAUUAACCUUUAUGUUGCACAUUUCAACCACAGAUUUUAAAGUACGUUAUAAAAGGGGUCAAGUAUCACUGGCAUAAAAA